rnacentral:lncRNA from 1 species
CAAAGUGCGGAAGCCAGGCUGCACUCAGCCCGUGGCAAUGGUGGUCGAUGCCCUCUUUAAGGGUCCAGUGUUAAACCUCCUGUGAGGCUGUUAACUAGCCUGGAGUUUUGGGGCCCCAUGGUCAAGUAGCACUGAGGAGCGAGGCAGAACCGUGGUGUGGACCCAGCUCUCGGAGCUCCGGGUUUUGACUGAGAGGGGUGGACUUGCCCCACGUACAGAGUAGAGGCAAGGGGCCCGAGUGAUAAAGGAAUUAAGGGCUUGUUUGAGAUGAAGUACUGGGUGUGGGCUUGGGACGGUUAAAGGGCAGCAAAAUAAUUUCUCA